rnacentral:rRNA from 1 species
GACGAACGCUGGCGGCGUGCUUAACACAUGCAAGUCGAACGGAAAGGCCCUGCUUUUGUGGGGUGCUCGAGUGGCGAACGGGUGAGUAACACGUGAGUAACCUGCCCUUGACUUUGGGAUAACUUCAGGAAACUGGGGCUAAUACCGGAUAGGAGCUCCUGCUGCAUGGGGGGGGUUGGAAAGUUUCGGCGGUUGGGGAUGGACUCGCGGCUUAUCAGCUUGUUGGUGGGGUAGUGGCUUACCAAGGCUUUGACGGGUAGCCGGCCUGAGAGGGUGACCGGCCACAUUGGGACUGAGAUACGGCCCAGACUCCUACGGGAGGCAGCAGUGGGGAAUAUUGCACAAUGGGCGGAAGCCUGAUGCAGCAACGCCGCGUGCGGGAUGACGGCCUUCGGGUUGUAAACCGCUUUCGCCUGUGACGAAGCGUGAGUGGCGGUAAUGGGUAAAGAAGCACCGGCUAACUACGUG